GAUGAAGAACGUAGCGAAAUGCGAUACGUAAUGUGAAUUGCAGAAUUCAGUGAAUCAUCGAAUCUUUGAACGCAUAUUGCGCUCUCUGGUAUUCCGGAGAGCAUGCUUGUUUGAGUAUCAGUAAACACCUCAACUUCCAUAUCUUUUUUUGAAAUGGGAGUUGGACUUGAGUGAUCCCAACGCUUUUCCUCACCGAAAAGUGGCGGGUUACUUGAAAUGCAGGUGCAGCUGGACUUUUCUCUGAGCUAUAAGCAUAUCUAUUUAGUCUGCCUAAAAAACAGAUUAUUACCUUUGCUGCAGCUAACAUAAAGUAGAUUAGUUCUUGUGCUGACUGAUGCAGGAUUCACAAAGACAGCUUCGGCCGACUUUGUAAACUCGAUCUCAAAUCAAGUAAGACUACCCGCUGAACUUAAGCAUAUCAAUAAGCGGAGGA
rnacentral:misc_RNA from 1 species